rnacentral:lncRNA from 1 species
AAAAAAAUCCCCCUAGUUUCCCAAGACAGCAUUUCCAUGAAUUUAGUCUUCUGUAAAUCACUGGGCAUUUCCGUGAGCCCUUUCUGCCUCCACUCUCUUCUCUGUCUUUGCAGUUUCCUUAUCCCCGACCGCGCCCCCCCUUCCAACCCAAUCACCCCACAAACAAGAUUUCUAGACCCAGUAUAAAAUGAUCCUUUUAGUGACAGUUUCUUGUUAUCUGGCCGAUCCACUGGGGACCGGGCUGCAGCCUUUAAAAUUUUUGAUCCUGGAGGCCGCCGAGCUGAACUUUCCGGCAGGACCCGGGCGAGGGGGGCUUAGCCCUUCGUUUCGAUCUUCCCACCAACAUCCGAGAGCCUAAUCAGCGCGCCCACGGAGGCGCCUUAAGGGCAGUUGGGGAAGAUGAGCAGAGCCGGGAAACAGCAAGAGGUAUAGACCCUCUGCAGCACCUCUCCAAUUCCGCGGCCCUUCCGGGUGGCGUAUACAGCUCCAGGAUUGGGAAAGGGGCUCCGGUGGCCCGGCCCGCGGGCGCCUGGCCUCGAAGCCAGAGGGAGGAGUGCGGGGCGUGGGGUCGGGGGGUGCCGGGCAGAGGAGGAAGCCGUGUCCGGGUCCGCUGGGCGAGGGGUCCUGGGUCAGGGGUCCUGGGUCAGGGCCGGUCUGAGCCCCGGUGCCCCGCAGGUCUCCCCGCGCCCCGGCCGCGCCCACAGGCCCGCCCCCUAGCCGCCGGGGUUGCUAUGCGUUGCCGUGAAACGCCUGUCAAUAAACCCUGUUUGGACAGUGGA